ensembl:lncRNA
UGGCAAUGAACCUUUCAUUUUCUUCAGCCUUAUAUUCACUGCUGCCUGUGUUCACUGCAUUCAAUUUACAGGCUUCAUAGACUAAUCAGAGUGAGAACAAAAUCACUAAAACUGAAACCAAGUAAUCAGCAUCAUCUUUUGUUUUGAACAGUUGGAAAUGUGCAUAAAAUGUAGCUCUCCUCAAUGUAUUUAGGGGUUGAGGUGUGAGAAAGUGAUAAAAAAGAAAAAUUCAGUGAUACCUUAUUUUGGUUUUGUUUCGGUUUUUUUUUUUUUUUUUCAUGGAUAGAUUUCAGCUAGAACCCCAAAACUCUGGUCUUAAUAUUCAGCAAUUCAUAACAUUUUGGCCAAAGUCUUCCUGUUAUUCGAGGUGAUGACAGCUCAGUUUUUGACAGCAAUGGGUCCAAUUGGUUCUUAAGAAAGCCUAGUGUGGUAGAAAAUGGACAGUUGGCCAGAGGGAAAUAAAAGUUCUUGGUACUAUUUGUGUAUGAAUGAGUGUAAGCAGUGAAGGAAAAUUACUUAACAUCAGCAGAGAAUUUGCCAAAAUUUUGUUGCAAUAUAACCUUCAGUACUGUACAGUACUGUAAGGGCAGAGACACCACCACAAUCCCUCCCUCCCAGUGCAUCAGAGAGACAACAUAAGUAGAGCAUUUUGAGAUGCUGAUUCAGUUUCUUACUUAGAUGAUCGCAGAAAAAAACUGACAACAUUUUCACCAAAAAUGCAUCUGAUUGAUUCAGUGAUUCCAAAGUCAUUUGGCCAGAUCUAAAACUAACAAAGAUUUCCAAGUUUAUAAGGAACUGAACAUGAGGAAUCCAAGGCACUAUUUUCACUACAGAGUUAUCAGAGGGGGAAUGUGGUAAUACCACAAAAGCAGCCAACUGCAAAUGUCAAUGCCUGUAAGUGAAGUAAAGCAGUUCUCAACUAUGAGUGCCCUAUCCAACACAGCUGUGCUUACUGCCCUGUGAACUUUUUUUUAUCUCUGAAAACAUCUCAUUUUGUUAUUUUCUGUUCCUAGGAGCUCAGUGUGCGGGUGACUUCUGCAUGACAACAUGUAAUGCAGAUUCCCUGAAACUGUACUUUGCAUAUGGUAAAAGUUCAAUAAACAAGGCACAUGUU